UAGUGAUAGCCGGUUGCUCAGGAAAAGAGUUUUAGCUCCACCUUAAGUUUUUCUAUUACACCUAAAAACCUCCAAACUUAAGAGCCAUUCAAAUAAGGCACAGCUUAUUUGAAACAGGACACAACCUCUAACACCGGGUAAAUAAGGUGACUCAAACAAAGUCGGCCUAAAAGCAGCCACCUUUAAAAAAGCGUUAAAGCUUAAUUAUUCUACCCUCAAUUUCUUAAUUCCCACCAACCCUUUACCACUACUGAGCUAUUUUAUAUCUUAUAAAAGCUAUUAUGCUAGAACUAGUAACAAGAAAUAGCCCUUCUCCAAAAUGUAAGCUUACACCAAAAUGGACCAUCCAUUGGUAAUUAACGCUAAUGUUAUAGUCACAACAACACACCUCUAGAAAACCCUGUGACCUCCCACGUUACCCUUACACCAGAACAUUUCAGGAAAGAUUAAAAGAGAAAGAAGGAACUCGGCAAAUCUCAGCCCCGCCUGUUUACCAAAAACAUCGCCUCUUGAUUAAGUAUAAGAGGUCCAGCCUGCCCAGUGAUAAAAUUCAACGGCCGCGGUACCCUAACCGUGCGAAGGUAGCAUAAUCACUUGUUCUCUAAAUAGGGACUAGUAUCAACGGCACCACGAGGGCUGUACUGUCUCCUUUCUCCAAUCAGUGAAACUGAUCUCCCCGUGAAGAAGCGGGGAUUAUUAUAUAAGACGAGAAGACCCCAUGGAGCUUUAAACUCAUCAUUCACUUCCUCACUCCUCCGACCUAUAUAAGGAAUCUGUGUGAUAGUUUUGGGUUGGGGUGACCACGGAGUACAAUUUAACCUCCAUGACAAAUGGGCUAACGCCCUUAUCUAUGAACUACAACUCUAAGAAUCAUAAGCUGAUGUUUAAUGACCCGAUAUUCGAUCAACGAACCAAGUUACCCUGGGGAUAACAGCGCAAUCUACUUCAAGAGCCCCUAUCGACAAGUAGGUUUACGACCUCGAUGUUGGAUCAGGGUAUCCUGGGGGUGCAGCCGCUCCUAAUGGUUCGUUUGUUCAACGAUUAAAACCCU
rnacentral:rRNA from 1 species